UAUGUAGGUGGCAAGCGUUGUCCGGAAUUAUUGGGCGUAAAGCGCGCGCAGGCGGCCUCUUAAGUCUGAUGUGAAAGCCCCCGGCUCAACCGGGGAGGGCCAUUGGAAACUGGGAGGCUUGAGUAUAGGAGAGAAGAGUGGAAUUCCACGUGUAGCGGUGAAAUGCGUAGAGAUGUGGAGGAACACCAGUGGCGAAGGCGACUCUUUGGCCUAUAACUGACGCUGAGGCGCGAAAGCGUGGGGAGCAAACAGG
rnacentral:rRNA from 1 species